UUAAGCGACUAAGCGUACACGGUGGAUGCCCUGGCAGUCAGAGGCGAUGAAGGGCGUACUAAUCUGCGAUAAGCGCCGGUAAGGUGAUAUGAACCGUUAUAACCGGCGAUACCCGAAUGGGGAAACCCAGUGUGAUUCGUCACACUAUCAUUAACUGAAUCCAUAGGUUAAUGAGGCGAACCGGGGGAACUGAAACAUCUAAGUACCCCGAGGAAAAGAAAUCAACCGAGAUUCCCCCAGUAGCGGCGAGCGAACGGGGAGGAGCCCAGAGCCUGAAUCAGCAUGUGUGUUAGUGGAAGCGUCUGGAAAGGCGCGCGAUACAGGGUGACAGCCCCGUACACAAAAGCGCAUGUGCUGUGAGCUCGAUGAGUAGGGCGGGACACGUGGUAUCCUGUCUGAAUAUGGGGGGACCAUCCUCCAAGGCUAAAUACUCCUGACUGACCGAUAGUGAACCAGUACCGUGAGGGAAAGGCGAAAAGAACCCCGGCGAGGGGAGUGAAAAAGAACCUGAAACCGUGUACGUACAAGCAGUGGGAGCACAGGUUUACCUGUGUGACUGCGUACCUUUUGUAUAAUGGGUCAGCGACUUAUAUUCUGUAGCAAGGUUAACCGAAUAGGGGAGCCGGAGGGAAACCGAGUCUUAACCGGGCGUUAAGUUGCAGGGUAUAGACCCGAAACCCGGUGAUCUAGCCAUGGGCAGGUUGAAGGUUGGGUAACACUAACUGGAGGACCGAACCGACUAAUGUUGAAAAAUUAGCGGAUGACCUGUGGCUGGGGGUGAAAGGCCAAUCAAACCGGGAGAUAGCUGGUUCUCCCCGAAAGCUAUUUAGGUAGCGCCUCGUGAAUUCAUCUCCGGGGGUAGAGCACUGUUUCGGCUAGGGGGCCAUCCCGGCUUACCAACCCGAUGCAAACUGCGAAUACCGGAGAAUGUUAUCACGGGAGACACACGGCGGGUGCUAACGUCCGUCGUGAAGAGGGAAACAACCCAGACCGCCAGCUAAGGUCCCAAAGUCAUGGUUAAGUGGGAAACGAUGUGGGAAGGCCCAGACAGCCAGGAUGUUGGCUUAGAAGCAGCCAUCAUUUAAAGAAAGCGUAAUAGCUCACUGGUCGAGUCGGCCUGCGCGGAAGAUGUAACGGGGCUAAACCAUGCACCGAAGCUGCGGCAGCGACACUGUGUGUUGUUGGGUAGGGGAGCGUUCUGUAAGCCUGUGAAGGUGUGUCGUGAGGCAUGCUGGAGGUAUCAGAAGUGCGAAUGCUGACAUAAGUAACGAUAAAGCGGGUGAAAAGCCCGCUCGCCGGAAGACCAAGGGUUCCUGUCCAACGUUAAUCGGGGCAGGGUGAGUCGACCCCUAAGGCGAGGCCGAAAGGCGUAGUCGAUGGGAAACGGGUUAAUAUUCCCGUACUUGGUGUUACUGCGAAGGGGGGACGGAGAAGGCUAUGUUGGCCGGGCGACGGUUGUCCCGGUUUAAGCGUGUAGGUGUGUGUUCCAGGUAAAUCCGGUUCACUUUAACACUGAGGCGUGACGACGAGGCACUACGGUGCUGAAGCAACAAAUGCCCUGCUUCCAGGAAAAGCCUCUAAGCAUCAGGUAACAUCAAAUCGUACCCCAAACCGACACAGGUGGUCAGGUAGAGAAUACCAAGGCGCUUGAGAGAACUCGGGUGAAGGAACUAGGCAAAAUGGUGCCGUAACUUCGGGAGAAGGCACGCUGACACGUAGGUGAAGUGAUUUACUCAUGGAGCUGAAGUCAGUCGAAGAUACCAGCUGGCUGCAACUGUUUAUUAAAAACACAGCACUGUGCAAACACGAAAGUGGACGUAUACGGUGUGACGCCUGCCCGGUGCCGGAAGGUUAAUUGAUGGGGUCAGCGCAAGCGAAGCUCCUGAUCGAAGCCCCGGUAAACGGCGGCCGUAACUAUAACGGUCCUAAGGUAGCGAAAUUCCUUGUCGGGUAAGUUCCGACCUGCACGAAUGGCGUAAUGAUGGCCAGGCUGUCUCCACCCGAGACUCAGUGAAAUUGAACUCGCUGUGAAGAUGCAGUGUACCCGCGGCAAGACGGAAAGACCCCGUGAACCUUUACUAUAGCUUGACACUGAACAUUGAGCCUUGAUGUGUAGGAUAGGUGGGAGGCUUUGAAGUGUGGACGCCAGUCUGCAUGGAGCCGACCUUGAAAUACCACCCUUUAAUGUUUGAUGUUCUAACGUGGACCCGUUACCCGGGUUGCGGACAGUGUCUGGUGGGUAGUUUGACUGGGGCGGUCUCCUCCUAAAGAGUAACGGAGGAGCACGAAGGUUGGCUAAUCCUGGUCGGACAUCAGGAGGUUAGUGCAAUGGCAUAAGCCAGCUUGACUGCGAGCGUGACGGCGCGAGCAGGUGCGAAAGCAGGUCAUAGUGAUCCGGUGGUUCUGAAUGGAAGGGCCAUCGCUCAACGGAUAAAAGGUACUCCGGGGAUAACAGGCUGAUACCGCCCAAGAGUUCAUAUCGACGGCGGUGUUUGGCACCUCGAUGUCGGCUCAUCACAUCCUGGGGCUGAAGUAGGUCCCAAGGGUAUGGCUGUUCGCCAUUUAAAGUGGUACGCGAGCUGGGUUUAGAACGUCGUGAGACAGUUCGGUCCCUAUCUGCCGUGGGCGCUGGAGAACUGAGGGGGGCUGCUCCUAGUACGAGAGGACCGGAGUGGACGCAUCACUGGUGUUCGGGUUGUCAUGCCAAUGGCACUGCCCGGUAGCUAAAUGCGGAAGAGAUAAGUGCUGAAAGCAUCUAAGCACGAAACUUGCCCCGAGAUGAGUUCUCCCUGAGACUUAAAGUCUCCUGAAGGAACGUUGAAGACGACGACGUUGAUAGGCCGGGUGUGUAAGCGCAGCGAUGCGUUGAGCUAACCGGUACUAAUGAACCGUGAGGCUUAACCUU
rnacentral:rRNA from 1 species